UCUCUCGACAGCUUCUCGUGCCCGACCCCUAUCGGUGUGCCGCCGCCUUCUCUGCUCCUAUCGUCCCUAGCAUCAUCUCCUCUUCCAUCCUGCUGUCACCUCCGGAGCGCCGCCGCCCUCAGUUUCUGUCCCUGCAAGCUGCUGCUCUACUCCUGGUUGGCCAUUGCAGCCGCUCCAACCAGCAGGGGUUAGGACAGGGAAGUUAGCAGCAAGAAGGAGAAUCAGAGAGGAGAAAAGAUUUGGGCCUUGCAAGAUCCAACAAAUCCCUUUACAAACCUUGAUUUCUGGGUUAAGGUUUGAUAAAUUCUAGUGGCGAGCAUGUGGCGCCGGAUUCCCGACAAGGUUAAGGCAAGUGCAAUGACGAACCUCUUGAUGUGCAAUUAUGUUUGUGGCUUUCUUGCUACCCUUGGGCGACGUUUAUUCAAUAUCUUUAUUUUAUAUGUCAAUUCCUUUAAGAAUCUUGUCAUAAUUUUCUGGUUCUGCCAAAUGUUCAAGAUUCAUGUGUUGCCUUUCAUAUCAUUCAUGUGCCAGAGGUUUGUAUAAACACCGGUUGUGCAAUAUGGUUCUUAUGUUCAGGUUCCUGUGAAUAAGUGUUGGCUCCACUUAUUCAGCUUUACCGGUAAAUGCAAAGAAAGUUUCAGGUGACAUCCGUUUCAGACAGAAACUACUGUUCAUUGGUGGAUUUUCCAUUGUUCUUAUAAUUGCAGUCAUUCUUCUGGUUCUAAGUUGUGCUUGCUGAGUAUUUUUACUCACUCUUGUGUUUAUUUGGCUUUUAGGUACUCGCUGAUCAAGUUUGCAUGGGAUGGGAGUAGCCACUUCACUAUGAAAAUGCACACACCUUGCCAUUCAUUAAAAUAAAUCUCUAGACUCGAUAUUUCUUUUGAAAUUAAGGAUGUGGUCGUUUGGAUGUCGUUUAAGUUCGCUCGGUCUUGUUGGUCGAUGUGGAGUUCUUAAUACUGUUUAGCUAUAUCAUCUUGCUAUUAUAUGACUUGUGUGCCCGCGAAUGUUACAAUUUAUAGAGGAGACUGUGCCAAAAUUUACUAGAA